UGGGUUGACAGGUAUACCUACCUGACCAGAUGAAAGAACAGCAUCAGGCUGUCAGCCGAUCUCUGACUCGACCGGACGAUGAAAACAUACAAGUAGACGGCGAUGGCCACGGUCCAGAAAAAGGAGCUGGUGUUGGCGAAAGUGGAUAUCGCUCCUUGAACUAUGCAGUCCAAGGAGUCCGAGUCAAAUACUCGCCACACUCCAAAGGCGUAGGAGACCGCGGAGAGCCAGUCGGCCACCGAGAGGAAUAGCAGCAAUUUUCGCGGAGUUGUCCGCAAAUCGGCCAAACUCACCUAAGACACUGCCAGAGAAACACCCACAGCAGCCGCACGCCUCCUCUUGCCAGCUGGUCCUCGAACCCUCACACUGUUCCGGAUCGACUCGGAUCUGGAAGCUCUACAAGACAAGCAGAAGAUGAUCAGUAUUCUCAGAUUCAACGUGGGAGGAGAAACCAGUUUGCUCAGUGGAAGGUUGACUCGCACCGGUUAUGAGGAAGUACAACAAAGCUCAUCUUCGUGCUAUCCAACGUUUCCUCCGGUUGUAUCCUGCUUUGAUCAUUUUGUUUUGUUUUUUGGUGCUGUAUUUUCUAAUAGACGUGGUUAAAUACGCGUACUGUUUGGCAUGCUUCCUUUAUUGAUUGAUUAUUUUUUUGUCUGUGGUUGAGAUCCACAUAAAUGGCUUGUCAUUCACCACACAUAUUAGCUUGCUAGCUUAGAUAAUGCAUUGGUACCUCGAGAUACAAAAGCUUCGGUACACGAAAAAUUCAUUUUACGAAGUUUUUUGAAGGUUUUUCUUCUUCAUUUUACGAAAAAUUAUCAUCAUACAACAGAUAAUACAUACUGUAAUCGGAUCAUUCCCGUUCACAGCAAUGCAAAAAUGUAACUACGUUUUACUAUAAAUGUACACAAAACAAAUAUACAUACUACAAAGCUCAAGUAUAUGAAACAAAAGAACUUAAAAUUGGUUGCCAAAGUUAGCUCAUCUUUUACCACUCUGUGUUUGCUAUGACUGCUAGUAGUCAAGUGAUAACAUCUGUAGAAUGGGCCUAACAAACUAGGUACACUUAGGCACCAAAGCAUCACAAGUGAUAACAGGUAAUCAGAGGACAUGACAGCAAAUUUAAUGUGGUGUUUUUAGUUUAUCUUAAAAAUAUUUAGGCGAUUUUACAUGUAAAACCCAAUUGACUGUACGAAAAAAAAAUCAUGAAACAAAAGCCACUCCGGAACAAAUUCAUCUCGUAUUUUGAGGUACCACUUUGUCAGUUUUGAAUUUGGACCCAAAAAAAUGCUUUAUAAUCUAAUUUCGAAGCGUUGGUGGAUGCACAAGUCAAACUUGUGGCGUUUGGUACUUUUAACAAUCUUAAGAAGCACCGCUUUAGACCCCGGGUGUCCAAACUAUUCCAUAAAAGUGGGUGCAGGUCAGUGGGGUGCUAAGGGUGCUGCAGCAUCCCCUGGUGUUGGGGAGAAAAAAAAGCGUUUUGAUAGAUUUUUUCCAUUGUGUGUGUUAAAAAAAUAAAUCAAGAAAUAUAAUAUUUAGAAACAAGAGCGUAUGUAACUUUGGGGAUUAAAUAUAUAUAUUGAAAAAGUUUUUUGUUUGUUUGUCUGUAACAUGGUCACCACCACUGCUUAAUUUGUAAAUCAUAAGGUGCCGGAACGCAAAGUACAUAUGACGGCGCAGGGAUGACGAGACAGGCACAGGUCCCGGAACAUACGCAGAAAAUGGUGCUGAAAACAACACACAAAUGCCCACUUGCCAUGCUGUGGGACUUACAAUCCACAAUUUCAGAUAAUAUCCAUGGUAUAAAUGUUAUGACAACAAUUUACAAUUAUUUAAGCUAUCCUCUGCACGGCACGGGCAAUUGCCCACAAGUGGGACUUACAGUACACAGUCAGCAAUUAGUUUCUCAACAUGUCUAACUUGUAAAACAUAAAAAAAAAAAAAAAAUUACAAUAAAUAACACAAACCCAUUCUUUUCCGAGUUUCAUCCCCCGCCGUCUUCUCUGGCCCCAAAGUUCCUACCGCCUUACAAAUUGUGCAGCCCAAACCCGAAUUUCCCAUAAGGGUACUGGCCUGUUGCUCCGGCUGUUGGUGGUCCAUUCGGCUGACUGCUGGUGCUGUAGUUGGCCCCCACUCCGGGUGACGCUGAACCUGACCAGCUGCUGCCACGGUAGCAGCCUCCUGCCCCGGCUUGGCUGGCUGUCCAUGAAUCUGGCUAGCUGCCGCAA